rnacentral:rRNA from 1 species
GCUGGGUUCAGAACGUCGUGAGACAGUUCGGUCCUUAUCCACUGUGGGCGUAGGAUAUUUGACGGGGACAUUCCCUAGUACGAGAGGACCGGGAAUGAGUAACCUCUGGUGUUCCAAUUGUGUCGUCAGAUGCAUCGUUGGGUAGCUAUGUUGCGAAAGGAUAAGCGCUGAAAGCAUCUAAGCGCCAAGCCCCCCUGAAGACGAGAUAUCCCUUCCAGUUUAUCUGGACUGAAGGCAGGUUGAAGACUACGACCUUGAUAGGACGGAUGUGUAAGUGCAGUAAUGUAUUCAGCUUACCGUUACUAAUCAGCCGUGAGGCUUGAU